CGGCCUGUAGCUCAGUUGUCCAGUAGCGGUCGGCUCAUAACCGAUUGGUCGCCGGUUCAAGUCCUGCCAGGCCCACCA
rnacentral:tRNA from 1 species